GGGCCAUAGGAAACUGUAAUGGUGGUUCAGCACAUGUAGCUCUGUUGACUUGUUUGUUGUUUUGAAGAUGCCUACAGGUCUUUACCACUUUACUCUUUACAACUCACCACCAUAGUUUGAUUCAUUCAACAAUUUGAAGCUUUGUUACAUGGAAAAUCUAUAGCUUACACAGGUUUGAACUUGAAUAACUUGAAUAACUUUGAACAUUUUGAGACUUAAAAACUCCUGCUAAUGGCCUAGCUAUCUCCUGCUCCCUGCUGUCGGCUGAAGCUUCUACCGGCCCGCUUGAUUACCACUUACAUCACCUGGAUCAUUAAGCACCUCUGGGUCUUACCAGUGCCACGGACAGAGAACCUCCCUACACCCAAAGAGACAGGUCGGCUCUCCUCUUCACACAGUGCCACGGACAGAGAACCUCCCUACACCCAAAGAGACAGGUCGGCGGCUCUCCUCUUCACACAGUGCCACGGACAGAGAACCUCCCUACACCCAAAGAGACAGGUCGGUUCCCCAUUUCACAUAGCACCAUCAAGUGAGACCUUCCUGGGACUCAGAGAUACUGGUCGCGUCUUCACUUCCCACAGCGCUGUUGAGUGAGACAAUCCAUAGACCCCGAGAGAUAAGUCGGUAAUCUACUUCACACAGCGAAAUGGACAGCUCAGUCGACCAUCAAACCCUGCUGAGGUGCCCGUCAAACCCUCAGGCUGAAAUGCUGUAAAACUCUGUUUAAUUAGAUAUUGCAUAAUGCUUCCCCCCUUUGGGUGAGUAUUCUGUCAUAUGGGGAAAUGUGUCAGUGCAGCGUCAAUAACCUCGACUUGGAUCGAGAGGAGCAGAGAUGGAUUGAUAGUCAAAGAUAUUAAAAAAUAAAGCAGGCAACAGGCCAUGCUUUCAGGACAAAGGUUCUCCACAUAAUGUCCAAAACAUCUCAUCCCAAUAUGAAUCUUCACAACAUGGCGGUGAGUUUAAUCACAAAUCUGCAUUUUGGGUUUUGGAAAUGUAUUGUUCGAGGCACAAUGGAUUUUUUACGUUAUUUAUUUGAUCAAAGUCAACAAAUACAAUGAAAGUCUGACAAUGAGAUCUGAAAAGAAAAUGACUAGGGAGCGAAGUUCGACAUGAGUCCAUUCAGCGG
ensembl:lncRNA